rnacentral:rRNA from 1 species
UACGUAGGGGGGCAAGCGUUGUCCGGAUUUAUUGGGCGUAAAGCGCUCGCAGGCGGUCCGAUGCGUCGUGCGUGAAAGACCCCGGCUCAACUGGGGAGGGUCGUGCGAUACGGUCGGACUCGAGGCCAGUAGGGGGGACGCGGAAUUCCGGGUGUAGUGGUGGAAUGCGUAGAGAUCCGGAGGAACACCAGCGGCGAAGGCGGGUCUCUGGACAGUUCCUGACGCUGAGGCACGAAAGGCCAGGGGAGCAAACGGGG